CCACUGAGCAAGUAUAAACUAUAAUAUACUGUUCAGAGAGGUGGUUUAACAAUUCCAUUUCCAAAGACAAUAUUUCCCAACAGUUUUUAAAAGGUAUUUACAAGAAGUGUUAUUCUACUUACUUCUACUUUUAAA